rnacentral:lncRNA from 1 species
CGGGUGUGCACGCAUGUUUGAGCGUGUGUGGACGUGAGUGUAUCUGUGCAUGUGUGCGAGCAUGUGCGUGUGUGUGCACGUGUGCAUGUGUGGAGUCUAUGAAUGUGUGUGUGUGAGCAUGUGUACACACGUGUGAAUGGAUGCAUAUGGGCAUACGUGAAUGUGGACUGUAUGGAUGUGUGGCAUGCGGGUGUGGGCGUGUGUGUGUGACGGUGUGGACUGUACAGAUAUGUGACGGUGUGGACUGUAUAGAUGUGUGUGUGUGUGUGACGGUGUAGACCAUAUAGAUGUGUGUGUGCAUGUGAUGGUGUGGACUGUAGAGAUGUGUGUGUGUGUGUGUGAGACGGUGUGGACUGUAUGGAUGUGUGCGGGUGUGUGUGUGAGACGGUGUGGACUGUAUGGAUGUGUGCGGGUGUGUGUGUGAUGGUGUGGACUGUAUGGAUGUGUGCGGGUGUGUGUGAUGGUAUGGACUGUAUGGAUGUGUGUGGGUGUGUGUGUGUGAUGGUGUGGACUG